rnacentral:tRNA from 1 species
GGUACCUUCGCCAAGUGGUAAGGCCAGGGUCUGCAAAACCCUUAUCCCCAGUUCGAGUCUGGGAGGUACCUCCA